AACAAACGCUGGCGGCGUGCCUAAUACAUGCAAGUCGAACGAGGAAAGCUUUCGGGUGAGUACUAGUGGCGCACGGGUGAGGAAUACAUGGGUAAUCUGCCCUCGAGUUGGGGAUAACCAGUCGAAAGAUUGGCUAAUACCGGAUAAGACCACAAGAUCUGCGGAUCAAGGGGUUAAAGGUUUUUCGCUUGAGGAUGAGCCCAUGUGGGAUUGGCUAGUUGGUGAGGUAAUGGCUAACCAAGGCGACGAUCCCUAACUGGUCUUAGAGGAUGAUCAGUCACACUGGAACUGAGACACGGUCCAGACUCCUACGGGAGGCAGCAGUAGGGAAUAUUGCACAAUGGGGGAAACCCUGAUGCAGCGACGCCGCGUGAGUGAUGAAGGCCUUCGGGUCGUAAAGCUCUGUCGUAUGGGACUAACACAAUGAAGGUACCAUGCAAGAAAGGAUCGGCUAACUUCGUGCCAGCCGCCGCCGUAAGA
rnacentral:rRNA from 1 species